UACGGAGGGUGCGAGCGUUAAUCGGAAUUACUGGGCGUAAAGGGCGCGUAGGCGGCUGAUCAAGUCAGGUGUGAAAGCCCACGGCUUAACCGUGUGAAGUGCAUCUGACACUGGAUGGCUUGAGAUUGGGAGAGGGAUGCGGAAUUCCAGGUGUAGCGGUGAAAUGCGUAGAGAUGUGGAGGAACACCAGUGGCGAAGGCGGCUUUCUGGGCUGUAACUGACGCUGAGGCGCGAAAGCGUGGGGAGCAAACAGG
rnacentral:rRNA from 1 species